UUUCAUUUGAAUUUUAGCAGAAAAUCAAGUCAAUAUGGACGUGAAUCGUACAUGCAGAUAAAAGACUCCAGACCGCUUAGUGAUAAAUCUUAUCAGCAUCAAGAAAUACAAGACAUAUUGCAGUUUCUUUCGGUCAACGAUUACCAG